ACAGGAUUAGAUACCCUGGUAGUCCACGCCCUAAACGAUGUCUACUAGUUGUCGGGUCUUAAUUGACUUGGUAACGCAGCUAACGCGUGAAGUAGACCGCCUGGGGAGUACGGUCGCAAGAUUAAAACUCAAAGGAAUUGACGGGGACCCGCACAAGCGGUGGAUGAUGUGGAUUAAUUCGAUGCAACGCGAAAAACCUUACCUACCCUUGACAUGGAUGGAAUCCCGAAGAGAUUUGGGAGUGCUCGAAAGAGAACCAUCACACAGGUGCUGCAUGGCUGUCGUCAGCUCGUGUCGUGAGAUGUUGGGUUAAGUCCCGCAACGAGCGCAACCCUUGUCAUUAGUUGCUACGAAAGGGCACUCUAAUGAGACUGCCGGUGACAAACCGGAGGAAGGUGGGGAUGACGUCAAGUCCUCAUGGCCCUUAUGGGUAGGGCUUCACACGUCAUACAAUGGUACAUACAGAGGGCCGCCAACCCGCGAGGGGGAGCUAAUCCCAGAAAGUGUAUCGUAGUCCGGAUUGGAGUCUGCAACUCGACUCCAUGAAGUUGGAAUCGCUAGUAAUCGCGGAUCAGCAUGUCGCGGUGAAUACGUUCCCGGGUCUUGUACACACCGCCCGUCACACCAUGGGAGCGGGUUUUACCAGAAGUGGGUAGCCUAACCGCAAGGAGGGCGCUCACCACGGUAGGAUUCGUGACUGGGGUGAAGUCGUAACAAGGUA
rnacentral:rRNA from 1 species